rnacentral:rRNA from 1 species
UACGUAGGGAGCAAGCGUUGUCCGGAAUCAUUGGGCGUAAAGCGCGCGUAGGCGGCCCGGUAAGUCCGUCGUGAAAGUCAAAGGCUCAACCUUGAAUGUCGAUGGAUACUGCCGGGCUAGAGUCCGGAAGAGGCGAGUGGAAUUCCUGGUGUAGCGGUGGAAUGCGCAGAUAUCAGGAGGAACACCCAAUAGCGAAGGCGGCCCC